ensembl:lncRNA
UCUCAACUGUGUGGAUCUCAUGUGAAUUGGAACAAUAAACUUGGAUCCUUGCUUCUUCUCACUCACUGGUUCGGUGUUUUGCUUUCUUCAUGCAACAGUCUGGUAGAUGUGAGUAUCUGUUUCUAUGCUGUAUUUUAAUUAUAAUUACAUUCAGGUAAUGGAUCAAAUUUGACACAACAGUGUGUGAGAUUGAAUUAAGUUGUGUGUGAUUAGAAUGAGUGUGAGUGUUCUGUGUGUGAGAGAGAGUGUUCUGGGAAUUGCAGUCCAUGGUGGCCAUGUUUGUAGGCUGCCGUGCAGUUUGGGAAAUGUAGUCACUGGUUUGCUGUGACAUGACACACUCGUUAAAUAUUUAUAUUCCAUAUUGUAGCAUUUGGUUAAAAACAGCUUUUCAAGCUAAGGCCUUGAAAGACAUCAGACCACAGAAUGUGGGCCAGCUCAGAAAAAUGCUUGGGUUACUCACCUACUACAGGCAGUAGAUUAAAGACUUUUCCAGAAAGGCAAGCUGCCAGCACAAUCUCUUGAAAGCAGAUUCAACUGAGGUCCCUGAAAACACAAGAAAACCAAAAGCAAAGAAAAUGACUCAUGUUGUGCCCUCAGACAAGCCAAUCACUUGGACCGACCAGCACCAGCAGGCACUUGAACAGCUGAUUGACUGUUUGCUCCAUCCACCAGUGUUAGGGUUCCCUGAUUUCACUCAGCCGUUCAUAGUACACACUGACGCAUCACAUCAAGGCUUGCGAGCAGUAUUGUAUCCAAAACAAGAUGGCAAACUGAGAGUCAUUGCCUAUGGCUCCCACUCAUUGAGAGCAAGCGGAGAAGAACUACCACUACCAUGCAGGUUUGUUGCAGAUCUGGCUGAUUUUCACUUCACAAUAAAGUACAGACCAGGUAAAGAGAUCAGUGACGCAGAUGCUUUGUCAAGGAUGCCACUGGAUGCAGAGUCACUGAUGAGAGAAUGUUCUGAGGAGUUGCCACCUGACGCCAUAGCUACCACCAUUCAGGCCGUUGAGGUUCAAGAAGCGACCCUGGCAUUUCCAGCCAAAUGUAUGACAGUCUCCACUGAAGGUGAGAUAACCACUCCAUCAGUCAGUCCUAUACCAAAAGAUAAGUUAAGAGAUGCACAAAGAUCGGACACAUGCAUCUGUCCUGUGCUAGAUAGUAAACUGUCAGGCUCCAAACCUCUAGCUAGAGAGCUAAAGUCAUUCAGCUGAAAGACAGAAUGCCUGUUCAGAGAAUGGGAAAAGCUGACAGUAGACAGUGAUGGCAUUCUGUACAGGAAAACCAAAGCCCACAAACAGUUUGCCCUACCAGAACAGUACAAAGGAAAAGUACUGGAAGAGCUGCACAAUAACAUGGGACACCAAGGUGCCGACCGCACAGUAUCUCUAGUACGUGAACGCUCCUUCUGGCCCAAUAUGCAAUCUGACAUUGAGCACUAUGUGACAAAAGCUUGCAUCUGUCUCAAGCAGAAAAAGCCAUGCCAUGAAAUGAGAGCUCCCUUGACAAAUAUUGUGACAACACAACCAUUUGAACUCGUAUGUAUUGAUUUCCUCCAUCUCGACCCAUGCAAAGGUGGAUACAAAACAUCCUUGUCAUUGUUGACCAUUUCACCCGUUGUGAUCAAGCAUAUGCCACCGUGUCAAAGUCGGGGAAAACUGCUGCAAACCUCAUUUUCAAUGACUUUGCUCUCAAGAUUGGGUUUCCCUCCCCCAUUCAUCAUGACCACGAGGGAGAGUUUGAAUAUCAAUUGUUCACUUAAAGAAACUCAGUGGCAUGGCCGGGUCCAGAACAACACCAUAUCACCCGAUGGGGAAUGGCCAAGUGGAGCGGAUGAACAGAACAUUGUUGCAAAUGCUUAAGACGCUGACUGAAACACAGAAAUUGAACUGGAAAGAGUCUCUGGACAAACUGGUGUAUGCCUAUAACUGUACCCGUUGUGAAGUGACAGGUUACUCACCAUUUUAUCUGCUGUUUGGUAGAUCACCUAGGCUUACAGUUGACAUGCUGUUCGGACUGUACACAGAGUCAGGAUCCAGUCAACCAGACUAUGUGGAGAAAUGGAAACAGGGUAUGGAGGAAGCAUACGCUUUUGCAAAUGAGAAUGCUCAGAAAGCUGCUGAGAGGAGUAAAAGGUAUUAUGAUACCAAAGUGAGGAGUUCGGUGCUACAGCCUGGUGAGCAGGUCCUGAUUAAAAACCUGACACCAAGAGGAGGACCAGGUAAACUCCGUGACUACUGGGAAAAUACAAUUCACACAUUGGUGAGACAAACGGGAUCUGAUUUGCCGAUCUAUGAAGUGAGACCAGAAAAGGAUAAGGGAAGUUCCAGGGUCCUGCAUAGAAACCUGCUCAUGUCCUGUGAUCACUUCUUUUUGAGACACAGCCUGAAGUAACUAAAAAUGACAGAAGUAAACAGAAAAGAAGGCACACGCAUGUUGCACAGCCAGAAGACUCAGAUGAAGACAGUGGAGAUGAAUAUGACCUUCAUUAUGAGCCAAUUCAUGUCCUGACACCACCAACAGUAACUACUGAGAGACAUGUUAAGCAAGAGAGACAUCCUGAACAUGAGCCUGAACCAGUAGAACAGAGUGUUGAACUAGCAGUCCCUGUUGCCAUGCCAACCCAGCCUCUCAUUGGAGAUCAGCCGGAAGAGCUCAUCACAACUGAAAACGUGCCGGAUGAGGAGAUGAACGUACCUGCUGAGAAUCUGCCUGAUUCACCAGAUGCCACUCUUGCAUCAGGUGCUGCUGAACCUGAGGAGCCGACCUACCAGCUACCACAGAGAGAGAGACAUCCGCCAAGGCGCAUCACCUACGAUCAGCUGGGUACUCCGCCCUGCUAUAGUAUCCAGCCACAGCCGCAGUUGUUGCCUUUCUACCCUGCAUCGGGACUGGUCCCAUGGUUGCCAUCCUUGCAGCCAUACUACUUUCAGCCACCCUGUAUGUAUGGACUCCAGAAAACGUGAGUUUACAGACGUGACAUACUGAAAUAGAACCAUGAACUACUAAUGGACUGUUUUCAUAGACUGUUUUCAUGGGCUGUUGAAAUGAACUUUGAAUUUGCAGACUGCACAGAUCUUUGAAACCGAUGGACUGUUGAUCAAGAGUAUGUGCAAAGACUCUUAUUGGACUGUUUAUACAGUAGCCAGUCAACAGAUUUGACUGUGAAUAUGGACUGACAUAUUUGAACUGUGACCUUUGACCUAAGUACCACCUUACAGAAGAGGAUUUCCAGUGUCAAGUUCUUGAGAGACUGUUUAAAGGACAAUUGUUUGAUUGAUUUAAUGUCGAGACGACAUUUAUUUUGUAGAUAAGAGUGUAACAAGUUAAAUAGUUAAAUGUUAAAAAGAGAGUUAAGAGUAUUUAUUUUUCGCUGUUGUUCUAUUUUGAUGUGUUGAUGCAUUGAUUCAAGCAAGUAUAACGCUGAUCAGUCAUCCAUUAGGAUCCAUUACUUUAGUCUCUGCCCACAUACCUGGAGGAAAAUGCGUUUUUUUUUUUCCAUUCGAGUAAAGCUCUUGUGGAAGUAACACCGACCGUCAUGCUUGUGACUUAUUUCUCCUCUAUAUAGGUAUGUUGUGCACGUUUUACUCAAAUGUUUUAUCUGUGUUAACUUGCUGACAUUUUGAGAUGUGCUUGUAUCUUGUUUCUGAUGGUUUUUGAGUAGGUGUGAGUAAGUUUUGUCGUGUGUGCGUGUGUGCGCGCGCACGUGCGAGUCUCGGCCUCGUGUUUGAGGUCAGAGUGGCGCUAGAUUGUGCUUAGCCAUGGUUUGAAUAUGUGGAUAUGAAAGGUGUAUUUUUAUGUGUACUUUUAUUUAAUUAAUGUUUAAUGCACUUUAAGUUUACUGUUUUGUAUAAAUGAUUGGUAUGUGUAUAUUGUUGUAUUUUUGUAAUUCAUUCGAGUAAAGUUCUCAUGGAAGUAACACCGACGGUCAUGCUUGUGACUUAUUUCUCUUCUACAUAGAUAGGGGAACAACACAUCAAUCUUCUCUUCCACCCCAAACAAACAAAGUCUUCUGAAUAAAACCCUAAUAAGUCCACAUUUUUGCCCGCAUCUAUUACGGAAUAUUUUAAUCAAUCAAAGUAUAAUUCACUCAUGUAUAAUCAAAGUAUAAGCUCUGAAAGAGUACCAACAAGUUAUAAGGAAUAAAUGAGUUAAUCCACUAAAACCUAUGUUUAAAGAGUAUAACCAAAUAUCAAUCAGUAUACUGGUACCUGUUUGUGCUGGG